rnacentral:rRNA from 1 species
UGAACGCUGGCGGCAGGCCUAACACAUGCAAGUCGAACGGUAACAGGCAGCAGCUUGCUGCUUCGCUGACGAGUGGCGGACGGGUGAGUAAUGUCUGGGAAGCUGCCUGAUGGAGGGGGAUAACUACUGGAAACGGUAGCUAAUACCGCAUAAUGUCGCAAGACCAAAGAGGGGGACCUUCGGGCCUCUUGCCAUCGGAUGUGCCCAGAUGGGAUUAGCUUGUUGGUGGGGUAACGGCUCACCAAGGCGACGAUCCCUAGCUGGUCUGAGAGGAUGACCAGCCACACUGGAACUGAGACACGGUCCAGACUCCUACGGGAGGCAGCAGUGGGGAAUAUUGCACAAUGGGCGCAAGCCUGAUGCAGCCAUGCCGCGUGUAUGAAGAAGGCCUUCGGGUUGUAAAGUACUUUCAGCGGGGAGGAAGGGAGUAAAGUUAAUACCUUUGCUCAUUGACGUUACCCGCAGAAGAAGCACCGGCUAACUCCGUG